AUACAGUAUAUGAGCUGAAGAUGAGCUAAGAGCUGAAGUUGAAAAUUGAAAGAUCUGAAAAGAAUCCAGACCCCAAGGAAAUUUCAUUCCAUUUGCAUUAACACAGCUGAAAUGGUCAAAAAAAGAAAGCAAAAUUGAUUCACAUUAUCCUUUUUCAAAACAUGCAGCUCAUUUUGGGUUUUUUUCUCUUGCAGUUGUAUAAAGCAGCCAUUUCAUCAAGCAGGAGGUUGACCCUUCAAAGUGUUAUGCAGUGCCUUGAUAAAGAGGACACAAAUCAGAACAGGAGGACAGCUGCCCUUCUUGGUGGUCGGAGGAUAACAAAUGAGGAAGACCAACGUCAGGAUUAUUUCAGCUCUGAUAUACUCUGUGACGUAACGAGGCCUCGCUAGAGGUAGAGGACCUGGAUCCCCCGGCAGAGGACCUGGAUCCCCCGGUAGAGGACCUGGAUCCCCCCAGUAGAGGACCUGGAUCCCCCGGCAGAGGACCUGGAUCCCCCGGCAGAGGACCUGGAUCCCCCGGCAGAGGACCUGGAUCCCCCCAGCAGAGGACUUGGAUCCCCCGGCAGAGGACCUGGAUCCCCCGGCAGAGGACCUGGAUCCCCCGGCAGAGGACCUGGAUCCCCCCAGCAGAGGACUUGGAUCCCCCGGCAGAGGGCCUGGAUCCCCCGGCAGAGGACCUGGAUCCCCCGGCAGAGGACCUGGAUCCCCCCAGCAAACCUCCGGUUGAGGUUCUUGCUAGCCGUCCUUCAGAAGAGGACAGGACCCACCCCGCCUCGUCCUCGGACCAGCUCCGUUCCCGGCCCUCCCCAGGAGCCGCCGACGCACGCAGCCGCACGGCUCGAGGACGCGCCCUCCGGACCUCCGGACUGCCGGACUUCCAGGAGCCCGACUGCCCCCCUGUUCCGGUCUACCUGCCCCUUGAAGAGGACGCGGUGUCGUUCCUGGCUGCAGCUGCCGUGAUCCCCCAGGUGCAGAGUGCCGGCGUGCGCCUCCCCCGUUAGUGAGUUCUGGUCUAAGUUGACAUAUUCGUUAGUUUGUAGACUCUGACAAUAAAGCCUUGCUUGGUUUAAAUCUGCCAGCUGUCUGCUCUGUCGAUCUCACUUUGGGUUCACGUUUUCCCUGCCACGUAACACUCAGUCAGAAGAAAUCUUUUUUUUUAUUAUUUAUUUUUUAAAAUGUGAUUUAGUGUCAGAAGCACAGCCAGGAGCCAGUAGUGAUGAGGGGAUUACUGCUGUCGGUAUGGAAAUAACAGGUGAGCUGCUGUAACAGAAUGUGUGAACAAGCAAGCAUUAGUUCCAAUAUAACCAUUUUCUAUGCUCAAAAGUAGCAGUGACCCAUUUUAUUUUUCUAAUCAUUAAAACUAAGUAAAUACACAAAGCCCACAAUUGAAUGCGAAUAGAAUGAAAGUAAUAUAAAAUAAGCCUGCAUAUUUAGCUACUGAAAAUAUCUUAAUUUCCUUAAGUCUAAAUGUGUGUACAGAUUAUUAUUUUUUAUUGCAUACAGAUGCAGGUGAGUCUAGAGAAACUGGAGGAAGUGUGAAAGGAGAGCAGAGUCUCUCAGGGACUGAUUCCAGCAGCAGAACCUGAACCACAAGUUAGGAAGGAGACGGAUGAAGAUGAGUCGGUUGAUAUUUUGAUUUCUUUGCUCACCCUCAGUCACAGGAUGUACAUUCAUACAUUCUGAUGUUGUAAAGAAUAGUGUUGGAGAUUUGCUCUUUAACUCAUGUUCUCAUCAUGUUUAUGAAAUCUAAGUUGUGACUGAACAGUUUCCUUGCAGAGGAAAAAGAGAUGAUAGUGUUAUUUUUUAAAUUGAAAAUGAAAUAUUUUUAUUUAUUUUUUAAUUCAUUUUUAAGAUAUGGAUGUCUGUGAACACUUAUUUGAACAGAAUAUAGAGUCUGAUAUUAUUGAAAAGGAUGUGUUGUAAAGAAUAAUGUUGGAGAUGUGCACUUAUGUUGAAAUAAAUCCACAUUAUGAAGCAACACUUACUGGACUGAAUUGGAACUUUUUUAGAAAAAUGCACUGAAUUACAAGGCUUUACAGAACAAUGCGCUAUUGUAGACUUAAUAUGUGAGGUUAUAAUUACAUGAUUUUAAUAAUAAUAGGUCAUGAUCUAAAGUGGGCCGGUCUGAGACAUGAAACUCCAGGGCUGAAAAUGAGUCCCACUCCGUCCCUGCACCAUAUUAUGAUGUUUUUACAAUGAUGGUUCUACUGUGGAACCAGUUUGACAUGUUCAGGUGUUCUUUGUGUGAAAACUCAGAGAUUUCAGGGAUCAGAAGGUGGUUUUCAACUUUCUUUGUUAACUUUCUGCUUCAACUUUAAACUAAAUUUCCUUGACUAAGCCAGCCCUCUGGACUUCCAGGAAGCUGUGUUCCUAUUGGCUGUCCAGGUGGCUGCUUGGUGUUAUCAGGAACACCUGAGCAGCUCAGUGUCUUCCUGCUUUAUUUAGCUACAUUCAAACAUUUCCUCUGUUUCUCCUCACCACUGAACUGGGUUUGGUUCCGUUGCUUUAGUUUGUUCUUUAGGCGUUGGCUUGCAGCUUCCAGCAGUAAAAUUGUCUUUAAUGUGUUUCUUGGUGUGUUUUAGGGCUUUGUACUGGAUAGUUGUCUUGGUAAAUGUGGUUCUUUAGCCACAGUUAGCACAUGGUGCUAAUGUGUGCAGUGAUUAGUGGAUUUGGUGCAGCUGUGUCUUUAUCUUGGCUGUAGUGAGUCUUUAGAGGUUUUUGGUCAGACAUAUUCUGUAUUCUUGUUUGAGAACCAGCGUUGGUUGUCCAGAAGGUAAGAGUUCCUGUCCUGAUUCUCUGUUCUCAGAGGUUCUCUGGUAGGCUGCAGGAGACUUUAGCGUUUGGGUUGUGCUAGUUUGGUUUUUGUACGGUUUCAUUUGGACGACUAUCUUGAGGCCCCUCCAUGUGGUUUAGUGAGGUUUUCUGGAACAGUUCUACAAAGCAGCCUGCAGCAGAAGAGACUUUGAGAGUUUUUAGGAAGUUCUGGAGACCAGACUUUAGAGCAGCAGAAACAUUUGUCAGCAGUUUGAGCAGGAGAAGGUGAGCUUCAGAGUAGAAAUGAGGAGAAGGAAACGUUCUUGACCCGUGUGGUGAGGUCCUGUACCAAGAGUUUGAGCAGGUUGUGAAGAGUCUGUAGUUCUUUGGUCUGAAAGCACAAGAAGAGUCGACUCAUUAAAGGAGAAAACAGGAGAUAUUGUUGGUUCUUCUGUCGCUCUGCAGUUUCCUUAGACUGAAUAUCAAUUUUAUAUUUUAAAUGAUUUACCAUGUGAGCCCAAGAAGACUUCAAUAAACUCCCUCCAUCCCCUGAACACAACAUAUUUUAUUACCAUGUUAAUUUUUUUUAAAUGUUUUUGAGUUUUAAUC